UAAGAUGGCUGAAAUAAGCGGUGGAUUGUAGCUCCAUAUAUAAAGGUUCAAGUCCUUUUCUUAU
rnacentral:tRNA from 2 species